rnacentral:rRNA from 1 species
CCUACGGGGCGCAGCAGUGGGGAAUAUUGGGCAAUGGGCGCAAGCCUGACCCAGCAACGCCGCGUGAAGGAAGAAGGCUUUCGGGUUGUAAACUUCUUUUAUGAGGGACGAAACAAAUGACGGUACCUCAUGAAUAAGCCACGGCUAACUACGUGCCAGCAGCCGCGGUAAUACGUAGGUGGCAAGCGUUAUCCGGAUUUACUGGGUGUAAAGGGCGUGUAGGCGGGACUGCAAGUCAGGUGUGAAAAUUAUGGGCUCAACCCAUAACCUGCAUUUGAAACUUUAGUUCUUGAGUGAUGGAGAGG